CUGCGAGUGAAGCGGCAAAAGCUCAAAUUUGAAAUCUGACGUUCAUUCUGACGUUCGAGUUGUAAUUUGGAGGAGCGCCUUCGGGAGCCGACGCCGUUCUAAGUUCUUUUGGAACUGGACAUCAUAGAGGGUGAGAAUCCCGUGCCUGGGCGGCAGUCUGGCUUCCAUGCGAAGCGUUUCCGACGAGUCGAGUUGUUUGGGAAUGCAGCUCAAAAUGGGUGGUAAAUUUCAUCUAAAGCUAAAUAUAGGCGAGAGACCGAUAGCGCACAAGUAGAGUGAUCGAAAGAUGAAAAGCACUUUGAAAAGAGAGUUAAACAGUACGUGAAAUUGUUGAAAGGGAAGCGCUUGAGAUUGAACUAUGACAGGAUGGAGCUGUGCGAGGGUCUCGGCUCUUGUACAUCUCUCCAUUCUCCCUCCAACCACCAUCGGUUCCGGCGGCGAGAAAAAUGGUUGGGUAAUGUGGCUCCUCUCGGGGAGUGUUAUAGACCUGAGCCAAUUUGCGCCAGCUGGGACCGAGGCAACGAGCGAGCUUGGGGUGUAUUUUAUACCCCUUGACCUCAAGGAUGUGUGGCAUGUCGAUCUUAAGCGACCCG
rnacentral:rRNA from 1 species